rnacentral:rRNA from 1 species
UAUCCAAGAGAUUAGAUGCUUUUGGAUUAAAGGAGUAAUUCGCUUCGGGAGGGGCCCGCGUCCCAUCAGCUAGUUGGUAAGGUAAUGGCUUACCAAGGCGAUGACGGGUAGGGGACCUGAGAGGGUGGCCCCCACAAUGGAACUGAAACACGGUCCAUACACCUACGGGUGGCAGCAGUAGGGAAUAUUAGUAAUGGGCGAAAGCCUGAACUAGCAACGCCGCGUGUGCGAAGAAGGCCUUCGGGCCGUAAAGCACUUUUGAGAGGAUGAGGAAGGACGGUACUCUCAGAAUAAGUCUCGGCUAACUACGUG